CGUUCGCCGGCGGAUGUAGCCAAGUGGGUCAAGGCAGUGGAUUGUGGAUCCACCAUGCGCGGGUUCAAUUCCCGU
rnacentral:tRNA from 1 species